rnacentral:lncRNA from 1 species
UUAGUUAUUGAAGUUUAAAUCUAUUGUAGGAAUUACUAGGAAUUAGUUAAGAUUUGAUUUAGGAUUUAGGAUUUGGUUUAGGGUUUAGAAUUUGGUUAGGAUUUGAUUUAAGAUUUAGAAUUUGAUUAGAGUUUGAUUUAGGAUUUAGGAUUUGAUAAGGAUUUGAUUUAGAAUUCAAGAUUUGGUUAUGAUUUGAUUUGGGAUUUAGGAUUUUAUUAGAAUUUAUUUAAAAUUUCUUAUUAUUUCUUUGUAAUUUCUUUGAGGUUUUUUUGAAUUUUA